CACCGAGAGGUGGCACUGGUGCUGUUUUGAGGCACAAGCCGGGGAACAAGAGUGCGCUCGAAGCUAAUGUUUUGUCCCAUUUGAGCCCGGGUGCCAUUGUGGUAACAUGUUAGGAUUUAUUACCGGCUGAAGUGACCAGACCGACCUUUGUGUGACAGGUCACCACAUUGGGUUUAUCAGAAAAUGGCAGUUACAUCCGGUCACAGUAGUAAGUUAAUUUGUGACAUUCGGUAAUGUGUCAUUAUGCAUUUAUGCAUAUCUUUAUGUCUUAGCAUCUUUAUGUAUCUAUGAAUGACAGAAUGUCAACUCAAAAUGGUUUAUUUAUGUUUAACUGAGAUUAUGCAAUAUACGAAUGGGUGAUUUGUGUUUCUGUUGAGUGUUGUUUAAAGAACCUCAACCUAAAGCUGUUUUUGUUUAUUCAUUCUUCACAGAAUUGAAUGCUGAUCAAUAAAGGAUCUCAUACAUUAA